GACGAACGCUGGCGGCGUGCUUAACACAUGCAAGUCGAACGGAAAGGCCCUGCUUUUGUGGGGUGCUCGAGUGGCGAACGGGUGAGUAACACGUGAGUAACCUGCCCUUGACUUUGGGAUAACUUCAGGAAACUGGGGCUAAUACCGGAUAGGAGCUCCUGCUGCAUGGUGGGGGUUGGAAAGUUUCGGCGGUUGGGGAUGGACUCGCGGCUUAUCAGCUUGUUGGUGGGGUAGUGGCUUACCAAGGCUUUGACGGGUAGCCGGCCUGAGAGGGUGACCGGCCACAUUGGGACUGAGAUACGGCCCAGAAUCCUACGGGAGGCAGCAGUGGGGAAUAUUGCAGAAUGGGCGGAAGCCUGAUGCAGCAACGCCGCGUGCGGGAUGACGGCCUUCGGGUUGUAAACCGCUUUCGCCUGUGACGAAGCGUGAGUGACGGUAAUGGGUAAAGAAGCACCGGCUAACUACGUG
rnacentral:rRNA from 1 species